UACGAAGGGGGCUAGCGUUGCUCGGAAUCACUGGGCGUAAAGCGCACGUAGGCGGUUUGUUAAGUCAGGGGUGAAAUCCUGGAGCUCAACUCCAGAACUGCCUUUGAUACUGGCGAUCUUGAGUCCGGGAGAGGUGAGUGGAACUCCGAGUGUAGAGGUGAAAUUCGUAGAUAUUCGGAAGAACACCAGUGGCGAAGGCGGCUCACUGGCCCGGUACUGACGCUGAGGUGCGAAAGCGUGGGGAGCAAACAGG
rnacentral:rRNA from 1 species